rnacentral:lncRNA from 1 species
AUAUUCUUUAUUGGCAUGUUCUCAUAGAUGUUUGAUGCCCAGCAUUAUGUAAAUGCACAAAUAAAAAGACUAAAGGAAAUCAUGACUGAUUUUGAUAACCCGUCAGAUGUGAAGGCCUAAAGAAAAGUCCAACAGCAAGACAAAAGUCAGAGUAAUAGGUAGAAGCCCCAAGAUGCAGGAAAUGACCUUGACUUCUUUGAUGUCUGAGCAAGCUUGAAGCACUACACAAUGCCUACUUCUGCUACCCUCAUGGCUGUUGGAACAAAUUGUUCUCACCUGCAUGUUCAGCUGGAGGAAGUCAUCACAUGCUUGUCAUAGACAUUCCCCCAACUCUCUGGUUGUUCUGGGACCUGUCAGUUAGCCUCAGCCUGGUUUAUUCCAUCUGCCAAGAUUGUUUUCCUGGGGCAUGGCCACUGUGCUUGCUAUUGGAGCCAGCUCUACAGGCAGCCUAUAUUCAAAACAAGGUGAUUUCCUUCAUGAAUGAGGUGAUGAAGGACCAAGACCAUAUGGAGACACUGCUGCCUAAUUCUGCCUCCUCCAUCUUGUACCUGGG